rfam:Clostridium tetanomorphum DSM 665 contig3, whole genome shotgun sequence.
AAAUAUAAGGGGAACUGUGAAAUACAUAUUUGAUUUGGGCAUCUUUAGUAUGUAUGGAGUUAGUGAUGCAACCCACCCUAUAUUC